rnacentral:rRNA from 1 species
GAUGAACGCGGCGGCGUGCCUAACACAUGCAAGUCGAACGGAGAUUACGGACGGAAGUUUUCGGAUGGAAGCCUGUAAUUCUUAGUGGCGGACGGGUGAGUAACGCGUGGGCAACCUGCCCUAUACAGGGGGAUAGCAGCUGGAAACGGCUGGUAAGACCGCAUAAGUCGGUUAAAUCGCAUGAUUUGAUCGGGAAAUGAGCAAUCAGGUAUAGGAUGGGCCCGCGUCCGAUUAGCCAGUUGGCAGGGUAAAAGCCUACCAAAGCAACGAUCGGUAGCCGGACUGAGAGGUCGGACGGCCACAUUGGGACUGAGACACGGCCCAAACUCCUACGGGAGGCAGCAGUGGGGGAUAUUGCACAAUGGAGGAAACUCUGAUGCAGCGACGCCGCGUGAGUGAAGAAGUAUUUCGGUAUGUAAAGCUCUAUCAGCAGGGAAGAUGAUGACGGUACCUGACUAAGAAG